rnacentral:rRNA from 1 species
AACUAACGCUGGCGGCGCGUCUUAAACAUGCAAGUCAAACGGGUAGCAAUACCAGUGGCGAACGGGUGAGUAAUACAUGGAUAACCUACCUUUAAGUUGGGAAUAACACAGAGAAAUUUGUGCUAAUACCGAAUGUGACGGUUCAGCAAAGGCUGGAUUGGUUAAAGCAGCAAUGCGCUUAGAGAUGGGUCCAUGGCUGAUUAGCUAGUUGGUGGGGUAAAGGCCCACCAAGGCGACGAUCAGUAGCCGGCCUGAGAGGGUGAACGGCCACAAUGGAGGUGGGACACGGUCCAUACUCCUACGGGAGGCAGCAGUUAAGAAUCUUGCUCAAUGGGCGAAAGCCGGAAGCAGCGACGCCGCGUGAACGAUGAAGGUCUUCGGAUUGUAAAGUUCAGUAAGUAGGGACGAAAAAAAUGACGGUACCUACCUAAAGCACCGGCUAACUACGUGCCAGCCGCCGCAGUAAUAC